AUGCGCCUUCCGGAGACUUGUCACUAUACCUUAGAGUUUGACCGUGCAUCCAGUGGAAAUCCUGGAAAAUCUGGUGAAACUGGGAAUGAGGUCCAUCGCUUCAGUCAAAGACAGGGUACUAGACAAGUAAUUCUACUGAGUAUCAAGGAUAACUUCAAGUCAGGCAGUGUUCAACAUGUUCCUAAGGGUUCUAACAGAGAAGCUGAUGCUCAAGCAAGUUGGGGCAAAAAUCUUGAAGUUGGCCAAGUUCAAGAAGACUAUUAUUACUAUUGA